AAUUUUGCACCUUGGACUUCAACUUGGCCCAAUGUGAUUACAUUCCUCUGUACACACUGUCACACAGUAAUUUCACUUCCGUUUUCUUUUUCCCCCAUUUUCUCGGGAACCAAGCAGAGGGAAGAAAUGGAAACGGGUUUUGUAGCAGUGGAGAAGAUAGGGGGCAGAUCAACGGUGACAAGAUGCUUCUCAAAGUAUCCCCUGAAAUUCAUAAUACCCAGAAAGGUGGGUUCCUCCAUAACUGAUGCUGUUUGGAUUUACAGCCUCACCUAUGGUGGUGGCAUAGUCUCUGGAGAUUCCAUUUCAUGUGGAUUUACCAUAGGAGAUGGUUGUACCACAGUCUUGACAACCCAAGCUUCCACUAAGGUGUACAAGUCUGUAGGAUCAAAAUGCUCAGAACAAGUCUUGGAGGCGAGAAUUGGAAGCAAUGCCCUUUUGGCCAUCAUUCCGGAUCCAGUGACAUGUUUUUCUACUGCAAGAUACUCUCAGAAGCAGGUCUUCAGAGUGUUCUCUGAUUCAUGCCUGGUUAUUGUUGAUUGGAUUACCAGUGGACGCCAUGCAACCGGAGAAAAGUGGGAUUUUGAACUUUACAAGAGCUCCAACCACAUUUUCCUAGAUGAUCAGCCUUUGUUUCUUGAUACGGUAUUGCUGGAGCAAGGAAGCGUCUCUUCUAUUGCUGAACGCAUGAAGGAUUACCAAGUAAUUGCAAUGCUCGUACUCUUAGGGCCAACGUUGAAACACAUCCAGAACCAAGUUCAAGAAGAUGUUAAGAGGAUGAUGUCUGAGCAAUUACGCUUUCCUUCUACUGCCACAGGACGCCACAGAAGUUCUGAUCACCGCUUGCUAAAACCUACUUUUAUUGCUUCUUGCAGUCCUUUUGGUCCUAAGGGAAUAGGAGUAGUUGUGCGAAUAGCUGCUACGACAACUGAAUCGGUUUACAGUUUCCUUCGGCAUCAGUUGGCUGGCAUGGAACCGCUGCUUGGGGUACCGCCUUAUUGUUGAACAUUCAUGGAGGAUUUGUUUUCUGGGGAAAGAAGUUUCCGCCAUGGCUGAUCCCUGGAUCUAUUGUUCCUUUCAAGAUUCAGGCGUUCUGUUUCAAUGGUAAGUUAUAAAGUAAAAAGUAUCGAAUUUGGAGUUUGGGUGUUUCUGUUUUGAAAUCUUUAUCAUGUCUGGAUUUGCAGUAAUUUUAUAAUUUGGUGUUCUCUUGUCGGCUUGAUUUCCA